rnacentral:rRNA from 1 species
AUUGAACGCUGGCGGCAGGCCUAACACAUGCAAGUCGAGCGAGCGGCGGACGGGUGAGUAAUGUAGAGGGAAAGCCCGAUAGAGGGGGAUAACUACUGGAAACGGUAGCUAAUAACGCAUACUAUCGGAUAACCCAUAUGGGAUUAGCUAGUAGGUGAGGUAAUGGCGCACCUGGGCGACGCUCCCUAGCUGGUCUGAGAGGAUGAUCAGCCACACUGUGACUGAGACACGGCCCAGAUUCCUACGGAGGCAGAAGUGGGGAUUAUUGCACAAUGGGCGCAAGCCUGAUGCAGCCAUGCGGCGUGUAUGAAGAAGGCCCUAGGGUUGUAAAGUACUUUCAUUCGGGAGGCGUUACCGACAGAAGAAGCACCGGCUAACUCCGUGCCAGCAGCCGCGGUAAUUC